rnacentral:rRNA from 1 species
UACCCUUGACAUGGUCUAGAAGGCUUAAGAGAUUGAGCUGUGCUCGCAAGAGAACUGGAACACAGGUGCUGCAUGGCUGUCGUCAGCUCGUGUCGUGAGAUGUUGGGUUAAGUCCCGCAACGAGCGCAACCCUUGUCAUUAGUUGCUACGAAAGGGCACUCUAAUGAGACUGCCGGUGACAAACCGGAGGAAGGUGGGGAUGACGUCAAGUCCUCAUGGCCCUUAUGGGUAGGGCUUCACACGUCAUACAAUGGUCGGGACAGAGGGUCGCCAAACCGCGAGGUGGAGCCAAUCCCAGAAACCCGAUCGUAGUCCGGAUUGCAGGCUGCAACUCGCCUGCAUGAAGUCGGAAUCGCUAGUAAUCGCGGAUCAGCAUGUCGCGGUGAAUACGUUCCCGGGUCUUGUACACACCGCCCGUCACACCAUGGGAGCGGGUUUUACCAGAAGUAGGUAGCCUAACCGUAAGGGGGGCGCUUACCACGGUAGGAUUCGUGACUGGGGUGAAGUCGUAACAAGGUAGGCGUAGUGCU